UACGUAGGGUGCGAGCGUUGUCCGGAAUUAUUGGGCGUAAAGGGCUCGUAGGCGGUCUGUCGCGUCGGGAGUGAAAACUCAGGGCUUAACCCUGAGCCUGCUUCCGAUACGGGCAGACUAGAGGUAUGCAGGGGAGAACGGAAUUCCUGGUGUAGCGGUGAAAUGCGCAGAUAUCAGGAGGAACACCGAUGGCGAAGGCAGGUCUCUGGGCCGAUACUGACGCUGAGGAGCGAAAGCGUGGGGAGCAAACAGG
rnacentral:rRNA from 1 species